rnacentral:tRNA from 3 species
GCGUUCAUAGCUCAGUUGGUUAGAGCACCACCUUGACAUGGUGGGGGUCGUUGGUUCAAGUCCAAUUGAACGCACCA